rnacentral:rRNA from 1 species
UACGUAGGGUGCAAGCGUUGUCCGGAAUUAUUGGGCGUAAAGAGCGCGUAGGCGGUCCGAUAAGUCGGCUGUGAAAGUCAAGGGCUCAACCCUUGGAAGCCGGCCGAUACUGUCGGACUAGAGUCCGGAAGAGGCGAGUGGAAUUCCGUGUGAGCGGUGAAAUGCGCAGAUAUCAGGAGGAACACCGAUGGCGAAGGCAGCUCGCUGGGACGGUACUGACGCUGAGGCGCGAAAGCUAGGGGAGCAAAUGGG